CGUGGGUGUGAAGUGACAUCUCAUUAUGAUUAUCAUGUCUUCUUAAAGAAGCAAACACAACCAAAUUCAGAAGAAUUUAUAAGGCUGGUGUCUGAUUGAUUGAAAAGGCCCCAGGAAGUGGAUUUUGCCUUCAGAGUUCAACUCCUCCUCUGGUGCAGUCCCAAAACACUAGGUGGCAUGAGCAGAACAAGGAGGCGUACACACUGCAGGCAAAACUGCAAAGAAAGGGGCCACUUUCAUUCUGUACCCAUGGUGUGAAGAGUUAAAACCCAUCUAAGGAGACUUUCCAAGACUCUCUCUGGACGACCACUGUGUUCAUAAGUGCCCCUGUACAGCAGGAAGAUGGGGUGAUUUGCUAAGGUCUUUUCUAGCCUUGGAGAUUCUGGGAUUCUAGAAUUACUCUUUUAUAGUAAGACAUGAUCUCUGCAAUGUCAUUGAGAUUUAUAUGAGAAAAAAUGUUCUUUAGGGGCUAUCAAUUAAAACUUUAUACCACAAAA
rnacentral:lncRNA from 10 species